rnacentral:rRNA from 1 species
UACGUAGGCAGCGAGCGUUGUUCGGAGUUACUGGGCGUAAAGCGUGCGCAGGCGGUUUUGUAAGUUUGUCGUGAAAUCCCCGGGCUCAACCUGGGAAUGGCGAUGAAGACUGCAAGGCUAGAAUCUGGCAGAGGGGGGUAGAAUUCCACGUGUAGCAGUGAAAUGCGUAGAGAUGUGGAGGAACACCGAUGGCGAAGGCAGCCCCCUGGGUCAAGAUUGACGCUCAUGCACGAAAGCGUGGGGAGCAAACAGG